rnacentral:rRNA from 1 species
ACAGGGAUUGCCCUAGUAACGGCGAGUGAAGCGGCAACAGCUCAAAUUUGAAAUCUGGCGUCUUUGGCGUCCGAGUUGUAAUUUGCAGAGGGCGCUUUGGUAUUGGCAGCGGUCCAAGUUCCUUGGAACAGGACGUCACAGAGGGUGAGAAUCCCGUACGUGGUCGCUAACCUUUACCGUGUAAAGCCCCUUCGACGAGUCGAGUUGUUUGGGAAUGCAGCUCUAAAUGGGAGGUAAAUUUCUUCUAAAGCUAAAUACUGGCCAGAGACCGAUAGCGCACAAGUAGAGUGAUCGAAAGAUGAAAAGCACUUUGGAAAGAGAGUUAAAAAGCACGUGAAAUUGUUGAAAGGGAAGCGCUUGCAGCCAGACUUGCCUGUAGUUGCUCAUCCGGGUUUUUACCCGGUGCACUCUUCUAUAGGCAGGCCAGCAUCAGUUUGGGCGGUUAGAUAAAGGUCUCUGUCAUGUACCUCUCUUCGGGGAGAACUUAUAGGGGAGACGACAUGUAACCAGCCUGGACUGAGGUCCGCGCAUCUGCUAGGAUGCUGGCGUAAUGGCUGUAAGCGGCCCGUCUUGAAACACGGACCAAGGAGUCUAACAUCUAUGCGAGUGUUUGGGUGUCAAGCCCGAGCGCGUAAUGAAAGUGAACGGAGGUGGGAACCUUUCGGGGUGCACCAUCGACCGAUCCUGAUGUCUUCGGAUGGAUUUGAGUAAGAGCAUAGCUGUUGGGACCCGAAAGAUGGUGAACUAUGCUUGAAUAGGGUGAAGCCAGAGGAAACUCUGGUGGAGGCUCGCAGCGGUUCUGACGUGCAAAUCGAUCGUCAAAUUUGGGCAUAGGGGCGAAAGACUAAUCGAACUAUCUAGUAGCUGGUUCCUGCCGAAGUUUCCCUCAGGAUAGCAGUAACGUAUUCAGUUUUAUGAGGUAAAGCGAAUGAUUAGAGGCCUGGGGGUUGAAACAACCUU